GUAGGUGGCAAGCGUUGUCCGGAAUUAUUGGGCGUAAAGCGCGCGCAGGCGGUUCUUUAAGUCUGAUGUGAAAGCCCACGGCUCAACCGUGGAGGGUCAUUGGAAACUGGGGAACUUGAGUACAGAAGAGGAAAGCGGGAUUCCACGUGUAGCGGUGAAAUGCGUAGAGAUGUGGAGGAACACCAGUGGCGAAGGCGGCUUUCUGGUCUGUAACUGACGCUGAGGCGCGAAAGCGUGGGGAGCAAACAGGGAUUAGAUACCCUGGUAGUCCACGCCGUAAACGAUGAGUGCUAAGUGUUAGGGGGUUUCCCGCCCCCUUAGUGCUGCAGCUAACGCAUUAAGCACUCCGCCUGGGGAGUACGGCCGCAAGGCUG
rnacentral:rRNA from 1 species